UACGAAGGGUGCAAGCGUUACUCGGAAUUACUGGGCGUAAAGCGUGCGUAGGCGGUUUGUUAAGUCCGUUGUGAAAGCCCCGGGCUCAACCUGGGAAUUGCAGUGGAUACUGGCGAGCUAGAGUGCGGUAGAGGAUGGUGGAAUUCCCGGUGUAGCGGUGAAAUGCGUAGAGAUCGGGAGGAACACCCGUGGCGAAGGCGGCCAUCUGGACCAGCACUGACGCUGAGGCGCGAAAGCGUGGGGAGCAAACAGG
rnacentral:rRNA from 1 species